CCAUCAGUAAUGAUGAUAUAUAUUAAUUGAGUCAUUGGUUUGUAGGGGGAAAGAGUGGGUGAAUAUAAUUAUCUUGGUCUAACUUAUACUGUUUAUUAUAACGCUAUUCGCAGCAAUAUCUUUCUCUGCUCCGAUGGCAACGCUGCCUCGUUCAAAAAUCAUAACACCGCCGCGGCCGCCACGUUUACCAGCCGGAGCCUCAAAUCAUGUCCCUUUGUGGUGAUAAAGAGGACUCAGCCUGGUGUGAAGCUACAUUUAUUACGGAAGGAUGCCAGCCGGGAUCCGAACACGUCCGAUAUCAUCCAAGAGAAUGUGGCAGCUGAAGGGGGAGAGUCCAAGAAAGAGGCCAAAGGUGAAGACAUUUAGCCACCCCCCCUGAAAUACAUGGCAGCAUUCAACCCUCUUGGUGAGCUGCAGGAAUGUGCUUCCCAUUGCAGUGCACCAGCUCCAUGUACUGAUUUUGGGUGUGAACUUGAUGGGGUUGGAGGAAACUCGACUCGGCCAUCAAGCUCACCACAAUAUAA